UGGUUCAGUGGUAGAAUGCUCGCCUAGCACGCGGGCGGCCCGGGUUCGUUUCCCGG
rnacentral:tRNA from 1 species